rnacentral:rRNA from 1 species
CCUACGGGUGGCAGCAGUGGGGAAUAUUGCACAAUGGGGGAAACCCUGAUGCAGCGACGCCGCGUGAGUGAAGAAGUAAUUCGUUACGUAAAGCUCUAUCAGCAGGGAAGAAAAUGACGGUACCUGAGUAAGAAGCCCCGGCUAACUACGUGCCAGCAGCCGGGGUAAUACGUAGGGGGCCAGCGGUAUCCGGCUUUACUGGGUGUAAAGGGAUCGUAGACGGUGCGCCAAGUCUGGAGUGAAAUGCCGGAGCUUAACUGCGGAACUGCUUUGGAAACUGGUGAACUAGAGUGCGGGAGAGGUAAGCGGAAUUCCUAGUGUAGCGGUGAAAUGCGUAGAUAUUAGGAGGAACACCGGGGGCGAAGGCGGCUUACUGGACCGUAACUGACGUUGAGGCACGAAAGCGUGGGGAGCAAACAGGAUUAGAUACCCCAGUAGUC